rnacentral:rRNA from 1 species
GAAUUUUGGACAAUGGGCUAAAGCCUGAUCCAGCAAUGCCGCGUGCAGGAUGAAGGCCUUCGGGUUGUAAACUUCUUUUGUACGGACCGAAAAGCUUUGGGUUAAUAACCUGGAGUUCUGACCGGACCGUAAGAAUACUCACCGGCUAACUCCUUGCCAGCAGCCGCGGUAAUACGUAGGGUGCAAGCGUUAAACGGAAUUACUGGGCGUAAAGCGUGCGCAGGCGGUUUUGUAAGACAGAGGUGAAAUCCCCGGGCUCAACCUGGGAACUGCCUUUGUGACUGCAAGGCUAGAGUACGGCAGAGGGGGGUGGAAUUCCGCGUGUAGCAGUGAAAUGCGUAGAUAUGCGGAGGAACGCCGAUGGCGAAGGCAACCCCCUGGGCCUGUACUGACGCUCAUGCACGAAAGCGUGGGGAGCAAACA